CCGCCGAAAAUUUACCGGGGCUAAGCAUAGUACCGAAACCGUGGAUGCAGGUAACUGCGUGGUAGGAGAGCGUUCUAAAGGCGGAGAAGGCAGAUCGAGAGGACUGUUGGAGCGUUUAGAAGUGAGAAUGCCGGUAUAAGUAGCGAAAGACAGGUGAGAAUCCUGUCCGCCGAAAGACUAAGGUUUCCUGGGGCAGGCUCGUCCGCCCAGGGUAAGUCGGGACCUAAGGUAAGGCCGAGAGGCGUAGCCGAUGGACAACAGGUAGAUAUUCCUGUACUAUUCGUAAUCGAUAAGAGCGAAGGAGGGACGCAGGAGGCUAAUGACGCAUGGAGAUGGAAUCAUGUGUAAGCGUUAAGGGAGGAUACGAGUCAAAUGCUUGUAGCCAAUUUUGAGACGUGAUGGGG
rnacentral:rRNA from 1 species